GAUGAACGCUGGCGGCGUGCCUAAUACAUGCAAGUCGAGCGAACAGAUAAGGAGCUUGCUCCUUUGACGUUAGCGGCGGACGGGUGAGUAACACGUGGGUAACCUACCUAUAAGACUGGGAUAACUUCGGGAAACCGGAGCUAAUACCGGAUAACAUUUGGAACCGCAUGGUUCUAAAGUGAAAGAUGGUUUUGCUAUCACUUAUAGAUGGACCCGCGCCGUAUUAGCUAGUUGGUAAGGUAACGGCUUACCAAGGCGACAAUACGUAGCCGACCUGAGAGGGUGAUCGGCCACACUGGAACUGAGACACGGUCCAGACUCCUACGGGAGGCAGCAGUAGGGAAUCUUCCGCAAUGGGCGAAAGCCUGACGGAGCAACGCCGCGUGAGUGAUGAAGGGUUUCGGCUCGUAAAACUCUGUUAUUAGGGAAGAACAAAUGUGUAAGUAACUGUGCACGUCUUGACGGUACCUAAUCAGAAAGCCACGGCUAACUACGUG
rnacentral:rRNA from 1 species